UACAGAGGGUGCGAGCGUUAAUCGGAGUUACUGGGCGUAAAGGGCGCGUAGGCGGAUAUAUAAGUGAGAUGUGAAAUCCCUGGGCUUAACCUAGGAACUGCAUUUUAUACUGUAUGUCUGGAGUACUGUAGAGGGUAGUGGAAUUUCCGGUGUAGCGGUGAAAUGCGUAGAGAUCGGAAGGAACACCAGUGGCGAAGGCGGCUACCUGGACAGAUACUGACGCUGAAGCGCGAGAGCGUGGGGAGCAAACAGG
rnacentral:rRNA from 1 species